UCCCCUCAAGAUGGAUUGGGUUGCGAGC
rnacentral:piRNA from 1 species